UACGUAGGUGGCAAGCGUUAUCCGGAAUCACUGGGUUUAAAGGGUGCGCAGGUGGGUGUUUAAGUGAGUGGUGAAAGCUCCCGGCUUAACCGGGAAAUUGCCAUUCAUACUGGAUACCUUGAGUACAGUUGAGGUGGGCGGAAUGUGUCAUGUAGCGGUGAAAUGCUUAGAUAUGACACAGAACACCGAUUGCGAAGGCAGCUCGCUAAACUGUAACUGACACUGAGGCACGAAAGCGUGGGGAUCAAACAGG
rnacentral:rRNA from 1 species